rnacentral:misc_RNA from 1 species
GGACAAUUCCCUAGUUAAAUUAUUUUUAGCUAGAAAUUUUUGCAAAUUAGCUAGGGAUUUUUCCCUAGCUAAAUGACAGUUUUCUUGUAGUGUCUAGAACAACCAAGAACAAUUAGCAUUCACAAUUUCCUCUCGCAAACCCUAAGAAGUUAAACUCUUCCACCUAUCGCACCACUUUGAAGCCACCAUUUUUUCGUGUUCAUGAUUGCAUUCUCCACGCUUUGA